rnacentral:lncRNA from 1 species
CAGCCCAUGGUAGAUAUUGUCCGCUUUGGGUGCCAAACCUGGCCUGAACCCUCACGGUUUUGUUUUUGGGCCAGGGAAAACCUCCGCUCUGCCAGCCCAAAACGCGUCUACCAUGUUCAAGGUUGCCACCCUUUAUGUAUAGGACUUCCACCUUGUGCGUAGCCGAUGUGGGAUUCGCCUAAGGUGUUGUGCCCCAAACCUGGGAUGUCACAUACACCCCCCCUUAAGGACUCAGCGUCCUCGCUGAGGUUUGCCCCACCACCGGCCAGAGGGACAAGGCUUGGCUCUGAUACCAAAUUGUAACAGCCCAGCCCUAGUGUGAUAUUGUCCGCUUUGGGUGCCAAACCUGGCCUGAACCCUCACGGUUUUGUUUUUGGGCCAGGGAAAACCUCCGCUCUGCCAGCCC